GAUGAACGCUAGCGGGAGGCCUAACACAUGCAAGCCGAGCGGUAUUGUUUCUUCGGAAAUGCGAGAGCGGCGUACGGGUGCGUAACACGUGUGCAACCUGCCUUUAUCUGGGGGAUAGCCUUUCGAAAGGAAGAUUAAUACUCCAUAAUAUAUUGAACGGCAUCGUUUAAUAUUGAAAGCUCCGGCGGAUAGAGAUGGGCACGCGCAAGAUUAGCUAGUUGGUGAGGUAACGGCUCACCAAGGCGAUGGUCUUUAGGGGGCCUGAGAGGGUGAUCCCCCACACUGGUACUGAGACACGGACCAGACUCCUACGGGAGGCAGCAGUGAGGAAUAUUGGUCAAUGGGUGCAAGCCUGAACCAUCCAUCCCGCGUGAAGGACGACUGCCCUAUGGGUUGUAAACUUCUUUUGUAUAGGGAUAAACCUACCCUCGAGAGGGUAGCUGAAGGUACUAUACGAAUAAGCACCGGCUAACUCCGUG
rnacentral:rRNA from 1 species